GGGGAUUUGGCUCAGUGGUAGAGCACUUGCCUAGUAAGUGCAAGGCCCUGGGUUCGGUCCCCAGCUCCG
rnacentral:tRNA from 1 species